rnacentral:lncRNA from 1 species
AAAAAAGCAAUCUUAAGAAUAAGGAAAUAGACCCAUCAUUUUAAAACCCAGAAAAGAACCUUUCAACAUAGCAUUCCCCAGGUACCAAGCCUCCCUGAUUAGUAGGAGGUUGCUUUGAUUGUGACUGGUCAGGAACAUACCUGGCCCUCCUCACCAGUGUGUAAGUUCCUGGAGAGCUGUGACAAAAUCGCCCACAUCCACUCCUCCUGUGCCAACUUACCUAUAGUAUGCACUUCACAAAUGGGCUGGUGGAUUGCAGGGGGCACUCAGUGGAUAAGCCAGAAAAAACAAAGAGGGGUUUAUAUGUAGCUUUGCCCUCUCAGCUAUGUCCCCAGAACUCAACUUCCUGGCUGGAUGUCCUCAUGUUCAAAAUGUGGACAUCAAGACCUACCUCUCAGAGUUAUUAUAAAGAUAAACAAAGUCACACAUGGGAAAUCACCUAACAGAGAUGGACGUGGUUGACAAGCAGGAAAGAUUCGUUUGCCCUCCUCCCUCCUCCUUCCUUUCCUUCCUAAUGAGGAUAGCCUUGUCUUCAUUGCUGCCAUCGAAUCUCUGAUGUCAGUGGUCACCCAACAGGGAUCAGUGGUCACAGGUGGGCAUGUGUGUUAAGACUGCAAAGUGUUCCCUGGUAACGUUUACUCAUAAAGCAGUCAGCUGGCCUGAGCUGCAGUAGGGAUGGGGAAUGCUGCUCCAGCAUGCAUCUCUGUCCCUAGGUCUCAUCCGUUCCCUGAGGCCUUUGUCCGAAUGGAGACCUGCAUUGGGCUCACCACAGGCUCAUACUCAGGCUCAGGAUCAGGGACGUCUUGAGUUUUCCAGCAUCCUUAACAAUUUAGCAGCACACAUUCUCAAAGGUUUGAUACCUUUCAUAUAAUAUUUUUAGUACUGCUAGGAAGACACAGAUGAAUUAAAUAUGGGUACUUCUCUUCUGGGAACUUAUUAUCUUGAGUACAAGGAAUUAAGAGUAGGAGGUGAGAAGAGGCACUCCCUUUGGCCACCCCCAUGGUCUGGUGACUCUUGGAAUCAUGUUCACAGAUGUCCGCCUCUUGGAUGACAGCCUCCAGCCUUCCUGCUUUCUCACCCUCUCUCUUCUCAAAGCACCAGUGAUUUGUCCUUUUCAGAAUCGCGAACCCAUAGAUAUCCCCUCUCUCUAUCGGCCCUUUCUGCUUUUCCGUCCUUUUUGAUCCAGCUUAAUUUCUGUGCCCCAUCUCUUCAACCAUUUUCUUGCUGGUCUCUUCAGCACCCUUCCCAUUUUUAUUCCAUUACACUCACCAGACAAAACUUCAGGCUGGGUUGUAUCGCUAGUCUGCUUCCUCUGUAUCUCCACUGGGGCUGCUAGAGGAGGUUGGGAAAUGAGUUUACUCAGCCUCACAGGUGGUUGCUACCAUUGGCACAGGACCACCACCCCCCACUGGGCUCUCACACUGCCCACUAGUCCUACAAAGCUUUCCUAGUCAGCUGCCCACAGUGAUGUAGAAGGAAAAUAAAUCUUGGGGCCUCCAAAUCACUAAGCUAAAGGGAAAAGUCAAGCUGGGAACUGCUUAGGGCAAACCUGCCUCCCAUUCUAUUCAAAGUCACCCCUCUGCUCACUGUGAUAAAUGCAUAUCUGAUUGCCUCCUUUGGAAAGGCUAAUCAGACACUCAGAAGAAUGCAAUUGUUUGUCUCUCACCUACCUGUGACCUGGAAGCUCCCUCCCUGCUUCAAGUUGUUCUGCCUUUCUGGAGGGAACCAGUGUACAUCUUACAUAUAUUCACUGAUGUCUCAUGUCUCCCUAAAAUGUGUAAAACCAAGCUGUGCUCAGACCACCCUGAGCACAUGUGGUCAGGACCUCCUGAUGCUCUGUCAUGGGUGGGUGUCCUCAACCGUGGCAAAAUAAACUUUCUAAAUUAACUGAGACCUGUCUCAGAUUUCCAAGGUUCACAUGUUGGUAACCACGAAGGGAUUCUGAGUGGAGAUGCCUCUUACCUUUGACAAAUCUCCUACUGGUGUUUGGUACCAGCAUGAGCUAACUUUAUGGCUCAAACCAACAGGACAAUUUGCUGAGGUCUGAAAGCAUCUCCUUCAGAGAAUUCCUGAUCUCCCAAAAUUUGGUCAAAAUCAAAAGUUUAUUUUGCUGUACAACUCCCUGUUUUUUUCUUUGUUUGUUUUGAGUUUUACUUGCUUCCAACAAGGAAGGCAAGAUUUCCUGCUUCCCUGAUGAUGGAAGGCAGGUAACUCCUUUAAGGAGUUUGAGCUCACUCCCCGCAGGUAAGAGAGGAGACCACCCCUCAUAUUGUCUUAUGCCCAAUUUCUGCCUCCAAAGAAAGAAGUAAUAACUAAAAGGCAGAAAUGAAAUCCACAAGCAGACAGCCCGGUGACACACCCUGGGCCUGGUAAAGAUCGACCCCUGAUCUAAUCGGUUAUUUGCAUAAGAAAAGCACUGUGAAGAUCCCUGUCAUGUUCUGUUCCAUUCUAACUACAGGUGCAUGCAGCCCCCAGUCACAUACCCCCUGCUUGCUCAAUCUAUCACGACUCUCUCAUGUGGACCGCCUUAGAGUUGUGAGCCCUUAAAAGGGACAGGAAUUGCACACUCGGGGAGCUCGGUUGUUGGAGACGUGAGUCUUGCCGCAGCUCCAGGCCCAAUAAAGCCCUUCCUUCUUUAAUUUGGUGUCUGAGGGAUUUUGUCUGCGGCUUGUCCUGCUACACAGGUAAGACGAGUUCAAGUUUUAUUUCUUGCUUCUAGAACGGUAGUGAGCGGUCUUCAGCCUGAGACCCAACCCUAGCUCCGUGUCGAUUUAUUGCUUCCACAAAUAGUGCCGAUAUGCACCAGGCACUGUUGUAAAACUGAAAAUAUGUUUUUGGAUGUGCCCAGUCUUUCCAGCAUCUAGACAGUACCUCAAGCAAACAAGGCCGA